rnacentral:tRNA from 1 species
GUCCCCGUAGCUCAAUUGGAUAGAGUGUCAGCCUCCGGAGCUGAAGGUUGUGCGUUCGAGCCGCACCGGGGACA